GGUUUGUCCAAGUGCAAUGGUGUUUACAACUAACUGAUCACUACUGAUUACAAAUUUCUUUGUUUCUUCUCCCACUACUCCCACUACUUCACUUGACUAGCCUUUA
rnacentral:Y_RNA from 1 species